UGCAGAGUGAGAUACACAUAUUUUUGACUGAUCUCCUGGGACACAUGGAAGCUCUGGUUGGACUGUUGCUGGUGAUACUUGCAGUCUGUAAUGGUGAGGAAACGUACUGUGAUGGCAGACAGAAUGGAGCUCAGUGUUACGGAGCUUUAGGAGGAACUGUGUCUCUCCUGCUGAUGACGAGCGCCUCAGAAAUACAUAAAUACGACUGGUUUAAGAAGAUAACAAAAAUACUCAGUAUGAGAAAGAAUCAAAUUUUUUUAAAUGCUACUGAAAACAGAUCCAUCUUCACUCCCAGUGAUGGAACAUUCAGGAUAAAUAACCUGAGCAGAAGUGAUGGUGGUGAAUAUGUUCUUAACAUAUUUGAUUCAAAUGGAAAACUAUACGAGACAUGAACUCUACAAUUAUUCAUUCAAGCUCCUGUGUCCUCUGUGCUGCUGGUCUCCGAGUGUCUGUCCCGGGGGGAGAUGAGGGCGUCCUGCUCCUCUGAGGGAGGUGACAGUCCUCAGUACAGCUGGACUCUGGAUGGACGCACACUGACAGACACUGACCUCCUCUCAGGACACAGUGAGACCACAAAUAUCACUCUGAAACAAGGUCUCUCAGGACGACUUGUCUGCACAGUCAGCAAUCACAUCAGCAAAGUCAGCAAAGAGGAGAACAUAUCUAUCUGUGCAGAUGUCUUCCUUGUCAUGUCCAUUUUGAAGUUUGGAGUCAUGAUGAGUGCUUCAGCAGCUGCUGCUGUGGAUUAUUUUUUACGGAAGAAAAAGAAACAUGAAGAAGCUCAAGAGGAAUUUUCAGUAGUUGAAUUGAGGACAUCUGCAUCCACACAUUAGAUUUCUGAAACAGACACUGAUGUCUCAACAAGAGCUCAGCUGUUAGCUGUACCGUAAAUUCUCAUCUUCACAAACUUUGUUUUACUGCUGAACCGUUAGUCGUCAUCUCAGCGGCUCACGUUUGAUCACUUUUUGUAGCAGUGUGCA